GACGAGGUCCACAAACGUUAUUCGGAAUUACUGGGCUUAAAGCGUGCGUAGGCGGCUUAGCAAGUUGGGUGUGAAAGCCCUCGGCUCAACCGAGGAAUUGCGCCCAAAACUGCUGAGCUUGAGUGAGACAGAGGUGAGCGGAACUGAUGGUGGAGCGGUGAAAUGCGUUGAUAUCAUCAGGAACACCGGUGGCGAAGGCGCUCUGCUAGGCCGUAACUGACACUGAGGGACGAAAGCUAGGGGAGCGAAUGGG
rnacentral:rRNA from 1 species